rnacentral:rRNA from 1 species
CCUACGGGAGGCAGCAGUGGGGAAUAUUGGUCAAUGGGCGCAAGCCUGACCCAGCAAUGCCGCGUGAAGGAAGAAGGCUCUCGGGUUGUAAACUUCUUUUACAGGGGAAGAGCAGAAGACGGUACCCUGAAAACAAGCCACGGCUAACUACGUGCCAGCAGCCGCGGUAAUACGUAGGUGGCAAGCGUUGUCCGGAUUUACUGGGUGUAAAGGGCGUGUAGACGGGAAGGCAAGUCAGAUGUGAAAUCUGGAGGCUCAACCUCCGAAUUGCAUUUGAAACUGUUUUUCUUGAGUACUGGAGAGGCAGACGGAAUUCCUUGUGUAGCGGUGAAAUGCGUAGAUAUAAGGAGGAACACCAGUGGCGAAGGCGGUCUGCUGGACAGCAACUGACGGUGAGGCGCGAAAGCGUGGGGAGCAAACAGGAUUAGAUACCCGGGUAGUC